rnacentral:rRNA from 1 species
AUUGAACGCUGGCGGCAGGCUUAACACAUGCAAGUCGAGCGGUAACAGAGAGAAGCUUGCUUCUCUGCUGACGAGCGGCGGACGGGUGAGUAAUGCCUAGGAAUCUGCCUAGUAGUGGGGGAUAACUUGCCGAAAGGUAAGCUAAUACCGCCUACGUCCUACGGGAGAAAGGAGGGGACCUUCGGGCCUUUCGCUAUUAGAUGAGCCUAGGUCGGAUUAGUUAGUUGGUGAGGUAAUGGCUCACCAAGACCGCGAUCCGUAACUGGUCUGAGAGGAUGUUCAGCCACACUGGAACUGAGACGCGGUCCAGCCUCCUACGGGAGGCAGCAGUGGGGAAUAUUGGACAAUGGGGGGAACCCUGAUCCAGCCAUGCCGCGUGUGUGAAGAAGGUCUUAGGAUUGUAAAGCACUUUGAGUUGGGAGGAAGAGCAGUUAACUAAUAUUUGACUGUUUUGACGUUACCGACAGAAUAAGCACCGGCUAACUUCGUGCCAGCAGCCACCGUAA